GAAGAAGAAGGCAGAUUCUCUUUGUGUUGGUGCUGGACACUGUUGUGCGCGUUGGGCUUCCUUUUCAGUGGUAAUUUCUAGAAGUGUGUGUCUACUCUUCAUGGAGGACACAGGCUUCUGCAUGGAGUUUUAAAAUGUGUUGUGAUCACCUCAUUGUGACCUGAGCUGCUGGGCUGCAUCGCAACGGAAUGUUCACCUUUGU